CCUGCGGACUCCGGCCUCACCUGGGGUCCCGUCCUGGGGCAGGAUCCAGACAGACCUAGUUCCCGAUAAAGGAAAGAGGGAGUUCCACAACUUCUCUAGCCCAGAUUUCUCAAGGGAGGGAUAAAAUGAGUA